AAAUUGAUAAUUUCCUUCAAAUAUGAAGGACUACUGCACACUCAUCUUCCUGUUAUUUUACUCAGUUUUAAUUCUCAUUACCGAACAGCUUUCCCAUUUGCCUCUUCAUUUUCCUCCCGCGUUUUCUCUCCCCCUCUCUCUUUUUCAUUUCUCGCACGAAACAGCACACGGAUAUCAUCAAUCCACCGAAACAACACUUGGAUUCUUCACAAGGAUCACUCUGAUCUGGACCGAUUUUCAGACGAGCUUCUUCUCCAAGGCUGGCCGUAAGUUUUCUCUUCCCCUUUCUCUCUUUCUCUCGUUUUCAAGCUAUUUAUCCUUCUUCGUUCCUUCGAUUCUUGGAGCAGGUUCAUCUUGGGUUUUGUAUAGCGCAACAUAAGAACCAACGACGAGCUGUUUACACACGCUCCAACGACCAGCGGCCUCACCGAGGUAGUUUCAGAGAUGGUCACGUCGUUUCCCCCAAUUUCGUCCAUCUUCUUCUAACGUCAUCGGGCUUUCCACAGCUCCGAUUAGACCCCCCACAAACACCAGAGGUUCUGUCAGCUCGAUUGAAGCGGCGGUGGUUUCAUCUCUUCUGAGGAGUUCAUGUUCGUUCCUGAAUUCGCCGUCAACCCUCUCUCCCAGAGAUUGUUGUGGAUGUUGGACGGAUUGAACUUUAAGGAAUUCGUGGCAUUCUUGUCCGCAUUCAGUCCCCGUGCGACUUUACAACAGAAAAUUGAGUGUAAUGACUCUUUAGUUUUUGUGAUGUCAUGUUUCUAGAAAUUAUCUUCUCUGAAUUUUCACCUAUUGGGGUGAUGGCGUCUCUUUGUUCCUAGUUAUUUUUAGAGUUUAUGAUUCGGAUGGCAAUGGAGGGGUUGGGUUCUUUUUUUGUUCAGGGGAGGAUCCAUUUGAGUUAGAUCUCAUUAGAGUAAUAAAAUAUCACCUGUUCUGUAAAUCUAUUAGGGUGAGAAAUAAGGUUUAAAAUUUCUAAUAGAAAUUGAAUAAAAUCAAUUGUGCAGCUGAAUAUCUUGUUUUGCAUGUGUGGUUUUGUUGAUGUCUGGUACAGCAAGUUCUGACCCAAGUCCUUGAGGAAGCAGGCUACACAAAGGAUUCUUUGUUAGUUUUGUCGGACUUCAUGAAGGUAUUGUGUCGCUUUAUUUUGAAUAUAAUCCUUUCUAUGUGAACUUUCAUCAUUUUCUAUUUCCAAAUAGUUUGCUUUAAUUUGAUGAAAUACAUCUCACGUGAUUAGACUCCAAAAAAACAAUUACAUAUAGUUGCCCUUCUGCUUCAUUAUUUAAGCAAAUUCUAUUCUUUUGAAGGAAAAAUUUUUCCUGCUGCCUGCAGAUUCUUGGCAAUUCUGAUUUUAAGAUUGGGGUUGGAAAAAGUUUGCGUGAUAAUUAUGAUUUUAAGCUUUGCUUGUUCUGAAAUAGGACCUUAUGCAAUUAGUUGUUUUGCCGCCUCUGUUUGAGUGUAAGAGUUUUUGCAGAAAUGAAGAGCUUUUAACUUCUGCAAUUAUCGCUCUGAACAAUUGAAGUUUCAGUGCAGCUUGAAGAGAUAAAAAAAAAAAAAAAUAUGAGCAAGUUGGAAGAACACAGCGAUGGGCAACAGCAACAAAGAUGGAUUUUUGACUUGAGGCUAUAUUUUUUAACUUAAGAAGCUGUAUUUUUUAACUUAAGAAGCUGUAUUUGUGAAGUUUAUUUGUGUAGCGAUCAAAAACUCUGAUUUGUCUAGCUUCCAGGAACUUUGUUGAUCAUACAGGGCAUAUAAUUAUUUGUGAUGCAA